CUGCAGGUUGUGCGUGUUGGAAUAUAACCUUAUUUUAUCUCUAUCUUAUUUUUGUUGAUUCAGUCUUCUAUCCUGAAGAAGAAAUACGAGGAGCACAUGGAGAAGCUACGCGAGCUGAACAAUGAGUUAUUGAAGAAGAACGCUUUCAUCGAUGAAAUGGAGCCCAAAUACAACGCAAGCUCCCAACUAGUGGAGGAGCUGGAAGACGCCCUCAA